rnacentral:rRNA from 1 species
GACGAACCGAGCGAACGUUGUUCGGAAUCACUGGGCUUAAAGGGCGCGUAGGCGGGUGCUCAAGUCCGGGGUGAAAUCCCACAGCUCAACUGUGGAAUUGCCUCGGAUACUGGGUGUCUCGAGGGUGGUAGGGGUAUGCGGAACUAUCGGUGGAGCGGUGAAAUGCGUUGAUAUCGGAAGGAACGCCGGUGGCGAAAGCGACGUGCUGGAUCUCUUCUGACGCUGAGGCGCGAAAGCCAGGGGAGCAAACGGG